rnacentral:rRNA from 1 species
GACGGACGCUGGCGGCGUGCUUAACACAUGCAAGUCGAACGGAAAGGCCCUUCGGGGUACUCGAGUGGCGAACGGGUGAGUAACACGUGGGUGAUCUGCCCUGCACUUUGGGAUAAGCCUGGGAAACUGGGUCUAAUACCGAAUAGGACCACGCGCUUCAUGGUGUGUGGUGGAAAGCUUUUGCGGUGUGGGAUGGGCCCGCGGCCUAUCAGCUUGUUGGUGGGGUAAUGGCCUACCAAGGCGACGACGGGUAGCCGGCCUGAGAGGGUGACCGGCCACACUGGGACUGAGAUACGGCCCAGACUCCUACGGGAGGCAGCAGUGGGGAAUAUUGCACAAUGGGCGCAAGCCUGAUGCAGCGACGCCGCGUGAGGGAUGACGGCCUUCGGGUUGUAAACCUCUUUCACCAGGGACGAAGCGUAAGUGACGGUACCUGGAGAAGAAGCACCGGCCAACUACGUG